rnacentral:rRNA from 1 species
AGUGAACGCUGGCGGCAGGCCUAAUACAUGCAAGUCGAACGGCAGCACGGCAGAGCUUGCUCUGUGGGUGGCGAGUGGCGGACGGGUGAGGAAUACAUGGGAAUCUGCCCAGUCGUGGGGGAUAACGUAGGGAAACUUACGCUAAUACCGCAUGCGCCCUUCGGGGGAAAGCCGGGGACCUUCGGGCCUGGCGCGAUUGGAUGAGCCCAUGUCGGAUUAGCUAGUUGGCGGGGUAAUGGCCCACCAAGGCGACGAUCCGUAGCUGGUCUGAGAGGAUGAUCAGCCACACUGGAACUGAGACACGGUCCAGACUCCUACGGGAGGCAGCAGUAGGGAAUAUUGGACAAUGGGCGCAAGCCUGAUCCAGCCAUGCCGCGUGAGUGAAGAAGGCCCUCGGGUUGUAAAGCUCUUUUGUCCGGAAGAAAAGACGCCGGGUUAAUACCCUGGUGUCCUGACGGUACCGGAAGAAUAAGCACCGGCUAACUUCGUGCCAGCAGCCGCGGUAAUC